GGGCCAUAGCCCAGUGGCAGAGCAUAUGCCCUGCAAGCAGAAGGUCGCAGGUUCAAUCCCAACGACGUCUCCA